rnacentral:rRNA from 1 species
AUACGGAGGAUGCGAGCGUUAUCCGGAUUCAUUGGGUUUAGAGGGUCCGCAGGCGGGAAAAUAAGUCAGUGGUGAAAGCCUACAGCUCAACUGUAGAACUGCCAUUGAAACUGUUUUUCUUGAGUAUAGAUGAAGUGGGCGGAAUACAUCAUGUAGCGGUGAAAUGCAUAGAUAUGAUAUAGAACACCGAUUGCGAAGGCAGCUCACUAAACUAUUACUGACGCUCAGGGACGAAAGCGUGGGGAGCGAACAGGAUUAGAUACCCCGGUAGUCC